CAGCAGUAGCCGCGGUAACACGUAGGUGGCAAGCGUUGUUCGGAUUUACUGGGCGUAAAGGGCGCGUAGGCGGGCGAAUCAGUCAGGGGUGAAAUCCCAAGGCUCAACCUUGGAACUGCCUUUGUUACUGUUUGUCUUGAGUUCGAGAGAGGUAAGCGGAACUCCGAGUGUAGAGGUGAAAUUCGUAGAUAUUCGGAAGAACACCAGUGGCGAAGGCGGCUUACUGGCCCAUUACUGACGCUGAGGCUCGAAAGCGUGGGGGGCAAACAGGAUUAGAUACCCCUGUAGUCCCUGUCUCUUAUCC
rnacentral:rRNA from 1 species